rnacentral:rRNA from 1 species
CGGAUCGCAGCCUGCAACCCGGCUGCGUGAAGCUGGAAUCGCUAGUAAUCGCGGAUCAGAAUGCCGCGGUGAAUACGUUCCCGGGUCUUGUACACACCGCCCGUCACACCAUGGGAGCCGGAAACGCCCGAAGCCAGUGGCCUGACCGCGAGGAGGGAGCUGUCGAAGGCGGGUCCGGUGACCGGGGUGAAGUCGUAACAAGGUAGC